rnacentral:rRNA from 1 species
AGGACGAACGCUGGCGGCGUGCUUAGCACAUGCAGGUCGAACGGUAAGGCCCCUUCGGGGGUACACGAGUGGCGAACGGGUGAGUAACACGUGGGUAAUCUGCCCUGCACUUCGGGAUAAGCCUGGGAAACUGGGUCUAAUACCGGAUAUGAACUCCUGCCGCAUGGUGGGGGUUGGAAAGUUUUUCGGUGCAGGAUGAGCCCGCGGCCUAUCAGCUUGUUGGUGGGGUAAUGGCCUACCAAGGCGACGACGGGUAGCCGGCCUGAGAGGGUGAGUCGGCCACACUGGGACUGAGACACGGCCCAGACUCCGUACGGGAGGCAGCAGUGGGGAAUAUUGCACAAUGGGCGAAAGCCUGAUGCAGCGACGCCGCGUGGGGAUGGACGGUCGUUCGGAUUCGUAAACCCCUUUCAGUAGGGACGAAGCGCAAGUGACGGUACGUGCAGAAGAAGCACCGGCUAACG